AAGGAUUUAAGUUAAUGGCAAACUUUAAGCCUUCAAAGUUUAGAAUAGGAAUUUCUCCUAAGCCUUA
rnacentral:tRNA from 1 species